CCCUUAGAUGUUCUGGGCUGCACGCGCGCGACAAUGACGUUUGCAACGAGAUUGCGAGGCCGUCAGGUCGAGCUGAUCUUGCAAGCUGCGUCGUGAUAGGGACAGUCGAUUGCAAUUAUUCGACUCGAACGAGGAAUUCCUUGUAAUCGCGCAUCAUCAGUGCGCGCUGAAUACGUCCCUGCCCUUUGUACACACCGCCCGUCGCUCCUACCGACUGAGUGAUCCGGUGAAUGUUUUGGAUCGGCUUCAAGUUGGUUCGCGCCUCUUGCUUGCUGUGAAAUCAUGUAAACCUUAUUGCUUAGAGGAAGGAGAAGUCGUAACA
rnacentral:rRNA from 1 species